rnacentral:lncRNA from 1 species
AAAAUUCAUCUAUUGCUUAUCAAAAGAGGAUGAAUACAUGACUAUUUAUAGGGUUUCUAAACCCUAACUCCUAAUAGGACUCCUACUCAAGACUCCUACUCAAGACUCAUAAUAGGACUCAUACUCAAGACUCCUACUCAAUUAAGACUCCUACUCAAGACUCAUAAUAGGACUCCUACUCAAGACUCCUAUUCCUUUACAACUCCUAAUUCUUCUCUAAGAAAUAACCUCCAAACCCUAGCCGGUCUCUUCACCU